rnacentral:lncRNA from 1 species
CACCUACAGCCCCUCGAGCGCUCUGUGCGCUGACAGUAACAUAAACAACAUUGACAAAACGAGACAAUGCAUUUUAUUAAGGCAGCACCUGCACAAGACACAGCACUGUGUGCUGAUGUUCAAGGACUUUCUCUUAUGAGACUACUGUGGAACUUCAUCAGACAUGUUCUUACCUUUUUUAGGCUUCAAGGUUGCAGAGUGAACACUGGCAUUACUUCAGGUUUUCUGCUGGGCCAUUUCUAAUCUGAUUCUUGUUUCAUUUGAGAGAGGUUAUUCUGAGUCAUGGAGAAAAGUGUACUGUCGGGAAAAGGCUGCUAUUUUUAUAUUCCAGGAAAACAUAAGAGAUGUUGAGUUUUGAUUGUAUGGCAUCUCUGCACUUUUGUUACGCAACCAAAUGGCUUCUGCUGGCCGGCUAUUUACGUCUUUAUGUCCGAACUAACAUGAACACAGGCCUGCAUACCUGUGUGAAGAUCCAACUGUGGAUUUUUCA